rnacentral:rRNA from 1 species
CUACGGGCUGCAGCAGUGAGGAAUAUUGCACAAUGGGGGAACCCUGAUGCAGCAACGCCGCGUGGAGGAUGACGCAUUUCGGUGUGUAAACUCCUUUUAUAUGUCAAGAAAAUGACGGUAGCAUAUGAAUAAGCACCGGCUAACUCCGUGCCAGCAGCCGCGGUAAUACGGAGGGUGCAAGCGUUACUCGGAAUCACUGGACGUAAAGGACGCGUAGGCGGGUUGGAAAGUCAGGUGUGAAAUCCUACAGCUUAACUGUAGAACUGCACUUGAAACUUCUAAUCUAGAGUAUGGGAGGGGGAGAUGGAAUUAGUGGUGUAGGGGUAAAAUCCGUAGAUAUCACUAGGAAUACCUAAAGCGAAGGCGAUCUCCUGGAACAUUACUGACGCUAAGGCGUGAAAGCGUGGGGAGCAAACAGGAUUAGAUACCCGCGUAGUC